GAUGAACGCUGGCGGCGUGCCUAAUACAUGCAAGUCGAGCGAACGGACGAGAAGCUUGCUUCUCUGAUGUUAGCGGCGGACGGGUGAGUAACACGUGGAUAACCUACCUAUAAGACUGGGAUAACUUCGGGAAACCGGAGCUAAUACCGGAUAAUAUUUUGAACCGCAUGGUUCAAAAGUGAAAGACGGUCUUGCUGUCACUUAUAGAUGGAUCCGCGCUGCAUUAGCUAGUUGGUAAGGUAACGGCUUACCAAGGCAACGAUGCAUAGCCGACCUGAGAGGGUGAUCGGCCACACUGGAACUGAGACACGGUCCAGACUCCUACGGGAGGCAGCAGUAGGGAAUCUUCCGCAAUGGGCGAAAGCCUGACGGAGCAACGCCGCGUGAGUGAUGAAGGUCUUCGGAUCGUAAAACUCUGUUAUUAGGGAAGAACAUAUGUGUAAGUAACUGUGCACAUCUUGACGGUACCUAAUCAGAAAGCCACGGCUAACUACGUGCCAGCAGCCGCGGUAAUACGUAGGUGGCAAGCGUUAUCCGGAAUUAUUGGGCGUAAAGCGCGCGUAGGCGGUUUUUUAAGUCUGAUGUGAAAGCCCACGGCUCAACCGUGGAGGGUCAUUGGAAACUGGAAAACUUGAGUGCAGAAGAGGAAAGUGGAAUUCCAUGUGUAGCGGUGAAAUGCGCAGAGAUAUGGAGGAACACCAGUGGCGAAGGCGACUUUCUGGUCUGUAACUGGCGCUGAUGUGCGAAAGCGUGGGGAUCAAACAGGAUUAGAUACCCUGGUAGUCCACGCCGUAAACGAUGAGUGCUAAGUGUUAGGGGGUUUCCGCCCCUUAGUGCUGCAGCUAACGCAUUAAGCACUCCGCCUGGGGAGUACGACCGCAAGGUUGAAACUCAAAGGAAUUGACGGGGACCCGCACAAGCGGUGGAGCAUGUGGUUUAAUUCGAAGCAACGCGAAGAACCUUACCAAAUCUUGACAUCCUUUGACAACUCUAGAGAUAGAGCCUUCCCCUUCGGGGGACAAAGUGACAGGUGGUGCAUGGUUGUCGUCAGCUCGUGUCGUGAGAUGUUGGGUUAAGUCCCGCAACGAGCGCAACCCUUAAGCUUAGUUGCCAUCAUUAAGUUGGGCACUCUAAGUUGACUGCCGGUGACAAACCGGAGGAAGGUGGGGAUGACGUCAAAUCAUCAUGCCCCUUAUGAUUUGGGCUACACACGUGCUACAAUGGACAAUACAAAGGGCAGCGAAACCGCGAGGUCAAGCAAAUCCCAUAAAGUUGUUCUCAGUUCGGAUUGUAGUCUGCAACUCGACUACAUGAAGCUGGAAUCGCUAGUAAUCGUAGAUCAGCAUGCUACGGUGAAUACGUUCUCGGGUCU
rnacentral:rRNA from 1 species